CUGUGUCGAGAACUCGUGUCGGUCGGACGUGCGUCGCGUUUGAUCCGGACGGAUUUUUUCAGCUUUGCCAAAGGGACAUUGUGUGAAGCAAAGACAACGGUGAGCAAGAAGUAGAAGAAGAAGAAGUGGCCACUAUAGGUGUUUGCACCAGCUGAGGAGGAUCAGCCAAACAGCAUCCCAUUGGCGUAUGAACGAAUUUGUUAUUGCUUGUUUGGGGGAAGAAGACUUGGAGGGAGGCGACCAUGGAAGAAGAAAAUUAAAAGUGAUCGAAGCAAAAGUGACCAGACAAGUUCUGGGUUCGCGGUUUCGCCGAGAUUGGUGUGGUUUUGGAUCCGGUUAAAGGUGGAGGUCGUGAGGUGAAUGUUGUGCAAGAAUUUUGAUCUGCGAAGUCGGUUGAGCAGGAGUACAUAUACGAUUGGUAUCAAUCGUCUUCGCCGCGGUUUUACUUAUACCGCCACCACGCCAUUUAACCAAGCGGUUGUCUCACAGUGUUCCGUGUAGAAAUUGAUAUUGUCUCUGUGACCAUCAUUCGGCGAGAGACGGUCGGUGGAAUCGUAAUUAUACCGAAGAAGAGCGCAGUCUUGAGAAGUUCGAAACGAAAACAGGAAAUGGAAUGAGUGUGUAUGGAGACGUCUCAGUAAGGUGUCUCAGGUCAGUACCGUCGUGUCGCGGUUUCGUGAUGAAUCUAUAGGGAUAUGGUGAUGAUUUGAAUUUCAAUGUGCGUAUCGGUGUAGUUUCUACGCGCCUUGGCGGUGUGUUUUUUAUGAUUGUUGUUCCCAUCAAACGAAUGGUGUGUCUAAAAUUCUGACGACUGCGAAACCGGCGAAAGCAGACCCAGGUGCGGAUAGUGACGAACUGUGCAAAGGCGUGAACUUGGAGAAUCGCUGCUGACACGACUGAAGGUAUCACCUCAGGAGCGCACCAACGAACAGACGGAUCGCUGAUUCUAGAUUAUUGUUAUUACUUCAUACUGCGAAAAAGCGAACGUGGUCGAAGAGAUACCUUACCUACAUAUAUCGUCAAGGAAGACCAGCGCAACCGGCAACGAAGCAAAACAGAGAAAAUCUCCGUAUAUUCUGUCCAAGUGGUGGCUACACAUGUAUCCUCGCUGACGCCGCCAGGUUAUUCUGUAGAAGUGUAGAGAUAUUUGUGAUUCAAAAUCUGUGAAGACAUCGCGAAGGAAAAGAUAAACAAGUGAAACCAAUAAAAGAAGAGAUAAAUAGUAUGUGCUUAUCGCCGGCAGUUAGCAGCUACAGUACCAACAGUGUCUAUAGCUGCGCCACAUCUGCAAUAUGUGUUGGUGUGAAUAAGAAUACGGAAAAUUUGAAAUGAAGAAAAAAAUUGUUGCUGUUUUGAUGCGCGAAAUUGUGGGCUCCUGCGGACAGAUCUCGUUCGAGUGCGGAUUCUUGAGUGUUCGCCUCGCACCACAGGAAUCUGGUUCUGUGGGUUCAGGUGACCUAGAAGAAUAAGGUUCACGGAAGAUCAAAUCGCAAGAGAACGAAGAAGAGAUAUUUUUGUGCCGCAUAGUGAAGAGGACGUGCGCGCAAUCAUAAAAGUGAACGUGUCCCAUAAAAGGAAGUGGAAGGGGUAGUAGCGAAGAAAAAAAAACUCACCUUGAAGGCUGUUCUCGGAAAAAUCUGGACGAUUGGAACAUAAACCCAUCGUGGCUGUUGCUGUUUUUUGAAUGUCUGUUCCGCUGUUCAGCAAGAAGUGAAAUAUUACGACAUAGGUGCCCGCGAGAAGAAUUGCCGGUGCCGGUGCUGGUGACGAUGAAUGAAAAUAAAAAUAGCUGCCAAAGGGAGCAGCAUCAACAGAUGCAGCAGAAGACGACGACGGCAGUUGUGAGUGGCAGCCGAGAGCGCAAUAGAAUCGGCCUAUCGCCGUCGUAUCGUGAAAAAAGUGCAACGAUGAUGCUAGUGUUGGGAUUGGUGUUGUUUGUCGUCGCGACGCUGCAGCCAACGACCGCGGAUGUCAUUGAAAAAUCGGUGCCGGGUGCAGGUGGUGUUGGUGCUAGCACGCCGCCCGUGUUCAGCGGCAGCGUGCUCGCCGUCGACGACGGUGGUGGUCGUGAUAGUGAUGGAGAAGAAAAAAGUUCUGUUAGUGAUGGUGUCGUUAAUUAUGGAAUCCGAAGCAAGAAUGAAGAAGAAUCGGCCAGGAGGAGUCCUGAUGCAGCAGCGGAAGAGGAAGCGGUGCUGUCCAUUGGCAAGAGAAGUCUCUCCAGCACGACUGGUGCUCCGGCGUAUGAUUCGGAUU